AUACUUACCUUCUUGACACCAGAGCGAUCACCAAUGCUCCUGGUGGCGACUCUAAACCCUCAUUGCACAGCGAGGAGUCGGGAGUCGUUGACUUUCCUUCGGGGACGUCAUCGGGGGAAUUUUUGAUUGCCCACCUUUUCUGAAAGGAU
rnacentral:snRNA from 1 species